AUUGAACGCUGGCGGCAGGCCUAACACAUGCAAGUCGAACGAGUGGCGCACGGGUGAGUAAUGUCUGUGAAACUGCCUGAUGGAUGGGGAUAACUACUGUACACUGUAGCUAAUACCGCAUACCAUCAGAUGUUCCCAGAUGGGAUUAGCUAGUUGGUGGGGUAACGGCUCACCAAGGCGACGAUCCCUAGCUGGUCUGCGAGGAUGACCAGCCACACUGGAACAGAGACACGGGCCAGCCUCCUACGUGAGGCAGCAGUGGGGAAUAGUGGACAAUGGGCGCAAGCCGGAUGCAGCCAUGCCGCGUGUAUGAAGAAGGCCUUCGGGUUGUAAAGUACUUUCAGCGGGGAGGCGUUACCCGCAGAAGAAGCACCGGCUAACUCCGUGCCAGCAGCCGCGGUAAUAC
rnacentral:rRNA from 1 species